CUUCCUGGCGGGCGGUGCGUGGGGGCCCUCGGGCCCACCGGUCUAUGGUGCUAUUUCAUCCCGGUUUGCAGCCACGCAUCGUCCGCCACCUCU
ncrna:Stenotrophomonas maltophilia R551-3 C4 antisense RNA